rnacentral:rRNA from 1 species
AGAGCAUCGGGUGGAUGCCUUGGCGUCGGAAGGCGAUGAAAGACGUGGUAAGCUGCGAAAAGCCUCGGGGAGAAGCUAAACAUUCUAUGAUCCGGGGAUUUCUGAAUGGGGAAACCCGGCGGAGGUCAUGCUCCGUCGCGGGCACUUGAAUACAUAAAGUGUCCAGCGCCAACUCAGGGAAGUGAAACAUCUCAGUACCUGAAGGAAAAGAAAUCAAACGAGACUCCCAAAGUAGCGGCGAGCGAAAUGGGAUGAGCCCAAACCGGCUGGAUUCGUUCAGCCGGGGUUGUAGGGCCGGCAUAUGUGAUUCAUGAGUAGGCAGGGGAAAUGAGCUGGAAAGCUCUGCCAGAGCGGGUGACAGCCCCGUACCUGAAACCGAAAGCGACACAGCCGGUACCUGAGUACCGCGAGACACGUGGAACCUCGUGGGAAUCCGGGAGGACCAUCUUCCAAGGCUAAGUACUAACCGACGACCGAUAGUGUACCAGUACCGUGAGGGAAAGGUGAAAAGAACCUCGAACAGAGGAGUGAAAUAGACCCUGAACCCGUCUGCCUACAAGCGGUCGGAGCAACGUAAGUUGUGACGGCGUGCCUUUUGCAUAAUGAACCUACGAGUUACUUUCUCCGGCAAGGUUAAGUAUUUCAGAUACGGAGCCGAAGCGAAAGCGAGUCUGAACAGGGCGACAUAGUCGGAGGGAGUAGACGCGAAACCAAGUGAUCUACCCAUGGUCAGGUUGAAGGUUGGGUAACACUAACUGGAGGACCGAACCGGUAAGCGUUGAAAAGCUUUCGGAUGAACUGUGGGUAGGGGUGAAAGGCUAAUCAAACUUGGAGAUAGCUCGUACUCCCCGAAAUGCAUUUAGGUGCAGCCUUUAUUUAGUAUAGCAUGAGGUAGAGCGACUGAUUGGAUGCGAGGGCUUCACCGCCUAUCAAGUCCAGAUAAACUCCGAAUGCGUGCUAUAUAUUGAUAAGGAGUGAGGGCGCGGGUGCUAAGGUCCGCGUCCGAGAGGAGAAGAAUCCAGACCAUCAGCUAAGGUCCCCAAAUAACAGUUAAGUUGAACUAACGAAGUCAGACUGCAGAGACAGCUAGGAUGUUGGCUUGGAAGCAGCCAUUCAUUUAAAGAGUGCGUAACAGCUCACUAGUCGAGCGAUCUGGCGUGGAUAAUAAUCGGGCAUAAACGAUCUGCCGAAGCCGUGGAUGUCGUAAGACAUGGUAGGGGAGCAUUCCAUGCGGCGUCGAAGAUGAGGGAUGACCCUUGUUGGAGCGCAUGGAAAAGCAAAUGUAGGUAUGAGUAACGAUAAGGGGGGCGAGAAACCCCCCCGCCGAAAGACCAAGGUUUCCUGAUCAACGCUAAUCGGAUCAGGGUGAGUCGGGACCUAAGGCAAAGCCGAACGGCGCCGCCGAUGGAAGAAUGGGUUAAUAUUCCCAUACUGCCUCAUGGAGUGACGUGGAGACGGAGAAGUGACAGUCCUGCCGGCUGACGGAAUAGCCGGUUGAAGGGUGUAGAUAUUGAUUCCCGUAGGCAAAUCCGCGGGGAGAGUCGAACCUGACAGUAUACCGAGUACUUGUACGAGGUAAUAUGGACGUAACCAUGCUCCCAAGAAAAUCCGCUAAACUUAUCCAUGCGGCACCCGUACCGUAAACGGACACACGUGGUCGGGUUGAGAAUACUGAGGCGCUCGAGUGACUCACGGUUAAGGAACUAGGCAAAUUGACCCUGUAACUUCGGGAUAAAGGGUCCUCGUCGUAAGGCGAGGCGCAGAGAAUAGGUCCAGGCAACUGUUUAACAAAAACACAUGGCUGUGCUAAAUGGAAACAUGACGUAUACAGCCUGACACCUGCCCGGUGCUGGAAGGUUAAGAGGAGAUGUCAUCGCAAGAGAAGCAUUGAAUUGAAGCCCCAGUAAACGGCGGCCGUAACUAUAACGGUCCUAAGGUAGCGAAAUUCCUUGUCGGGUAAGUUCCGACCUGCACGAAUGGUGUAAUGAUCUGGACACUGUCUCAACCGUGAGCUCAGUGAAAUUGUAGUAUCGGUGAAGAUGCCGAUUACCCGCGAUGGGACGAAAAGACCCCGUGAACCUUUACUAUAGCUUUACAUUGAAUUUGGGCAACUAAUGUGUAGGAUAGGCCGGAGACUGCGAAGCAGGCACGCCAGUGUCGGUGGAGUCGCCGUUGAAAUACGGCCCUUUGGUUGUUUGAGUUCUAACUUGCAAAAGCAAGGACACUGUAUGGUGGGUAGUUUGACUGGGGUGGUCGCCUCCAAAAGAGUAACGGAGGCUUCUAAAGGUACCCUCAGACCGAUUGGUAACCGGUCGUAGAGUGUAAUGGCAUAAGGGUGCUUGACUGGGAGAGAGACAACUCGAUCAGGUAGGAAACUAGAGCAUAGUGAUCCGGUGGUUCCGCAUGGAAGGGCCAUCGCUCAAAGGAUAAAAGGUACUCCGGGGAUAACAGGCUGAUCGCUCCCAAGAGCUCAUAUCGACGGAGCGGUUUGGCACCUCGAUGUCGGCUCGUCACAUCCUGGGGCUGGAGAAGGUCCCA